ensembl:lncRNA
UAAAAACCAAGGAUUACCACCUCCCACUGAUGAGGUGCCCACAGGCCACCCCUCACCCAUGGCAGAGAGCAGAUGAAGAGGAACAGGUAGUGGGCCUGGAGGAUCAAAUAGAUGGCAUGUGGGAAUUAUGUAACUACACUUUGGCCAGUGGAACAGAAUUAGAAAUAGAGUGAUCAGCUUUGAGGGGCACACCUUUAAAAGAUGGGGCAUGUCCUUCUCCUUCCUAUAUGCUGGACUGGUGACUGGAAUUUGAGCAGCCAUCUUGGUCAUGAGAUGAAAGCUCUAUCCUGAGAUUGGCAGAACAUGAGAGAGGGAACUUGGAUGAUCAGCAGGCAUCUCCACACCUCUCCUCUGCACACAGCCCUUCUUUCAAGCUCCAGGAGAGUCUGUGACAAGGAGUGGGCUCCCUCUGCAAGACAUCCUGAUUCCUUUGAAGAAAGGCAGCCAGGAAAUGUGAAGCAUGGUAAUGGUGGCCUUUUCAGGAGUGGGUGGGCUGUUUUAUUACUAAGAGUUGAGUGACAGGCUUCCCAGCAGACUCGAAAGACAGGGAAGAAGAUUUGGACCCAUUUGAAGAAAGAACAUCAGAGCAGGCAGGACUGGUUUCUGAGUCCCUGCUAUGAACAGGUUUUUUGGACGGGUGACCCGCAAACACCCUUCCCAGGCCCAUGAUUUUGAGAUGCCAUGAGUCAGGGGUGCAGGCCUUGUUCUGACACUGCCCCUCACACACCAGCCUCAUUCAAAGCCUCAGUCAACAUUUGCUGCUGGCCUGCUGGGCACAGUAAGAUCUGAGAGGCACUUAGAUGAAAUGACACCUGAAUCACUUCAGCUUUAACGCCCAGUCAAUCUCUUUCUAGGAGCUGAGACGGUAGCACCGAUAUCCUUAAAAUGACAUCACAACAAAAAGAGAGUUAACACCAUGUAUGCCAAUUGUGUGUGUGUGAGGGGGGAAGGGGUUGGUCACCCAAUUUGUGGAUCAUGUGGCCUCAAGCAAGAGCUUCGACCUCACCACUCAGCAAACACAGGUAGCUUCACUGUACUUGUUGGUUCCAUGGUGAAUCAAGACCUUGGAAUUCUUCACGAGGAUAUCAAAUCUCUUCAAAUUCCAAGAACAGUUAGGAAGCCUUUCACCCCUCGAAAUCUUUGUACCUGCUAUUGCGUCCUCUUCCUACAACCCUUACAGCCUGUUUCAGGUGUCUAAUGCUGUGUUAACAAAGCACCCCAAACAUAAUGCUUUAUAAUAAAACCACAAAAAUCUCUAUCUUGCCCCCAAAUCUGCAAUUUAGGCAGACUGAGAGGGAACGGCUCGACUCUGCUUCAUUCAGUGUCAGCUGGGUGUCUCUAAGGCCGGGGGCUGAAAUUAACCAAAGGAGGGGUCCCUGGGCAUCUCCCUCCACUGCGCAUGGCUUUUCCACGUGGUGUCUACCGCGUGUCAGUUUCAGGGUAGCCAGACGUCUUACCAGACAUCUCAGGCCUCCCGAGGCAUAUAUCCCGAGACAGGGAGACAGAAAACCAAGCAAAAUCCAGGUUGCCUUUCAGUGACCUAACCUCAGAAGUCACAUGCAUCGCUUCUCCGCCCUCUCUGGGAGGAAGCAGUCAAAAGCCGCCACCCAGAUUCCUGAGCAGGGAACGCAGAGCCCCCUGCUUCUCCAUAUGAGGCAGGCCAGUCUCACUGUGAGAGGAGCAUAUGGGACGGGAGAUACAGCUUGCUGCGUCCAUUUCCAAAAGGUAUAAUCUGAAUCCACUCUUUUCUGUCUGAAAAACCCUUCUUAUGCUUCAAGACCCGGCUCAAACAUCACCGCCUUUAUAGAGCCCCCAAGUUCCUAAGAGCAGGUUACCUCCUUGAUGAGGCCUAACUGCACUUUGUACCUCUGCUUUCAGAGCACGUAGCACCCUGAAAUGACAUCUGUCUCUUUCUGGAGUCUGUGAAUGGCG